AUGCGGAUCGAUGCUGAACUCAAUGUGUUGGCUGCUGAGAUCCAUGCGGAGGGGAUGGGGAUGGGGAUGGGAUGGAAAUGGGAUGGGAUGGGAUGGGAUGGGAUGGGAUGGGAUGGGGAUAUGGGAUGGGAUAGGGAUAGGGAUAUGGGAUGGGGAUAUGGGAUGGGAUGGGAUGGGGAUAUGGGAUGGGGAUGGGAUGGGAUGGGCUGGGAUGGGAUGGAAAUGGGAUGGGAUGGGAUGGAAAUGGGAUGGGAUAAGGAUGGUUCUCAGCCCCAUGGCCUCAGCUCUGCUUUCUCUCUCCCCACAGCCAACGGUGCAACCCCGAGUGCCACCAAAGGGCUGGGACAUCCCCAACCCAACAGCUCCCUGCGGCCCUCAGAGCAAACUCAUGAGGAAGGUCUGAGCCGGACCCCCAACCUCCGCCACGUCCCCGGGGAUCACACGAUGGAUGCUGCAGCCGUGCGCAGCCAGGAUGCCCCGCUGACAGUCAAUGAGCAGGUCAUCGUCAUGUCCGGCCAUGAGACCAUCCGGGUGCUGGAGGUCGGUGUUGACUCCGCUCCGCCGCCCGAGGAGGAGCCCCGAGCCGCGGCGGUGGCUCCUGGGGGCGGCCCGCAGGGACCCCCGGCACAGAGCGGCGAUGGGGGCAGCGCGGACGGGCAGCCCGGCACCGAACCGCAACGAGGAGCAGAACCGGCAGCAGGCAAAGCCAAGCCUCCAACCGGAGCCCCCCCCGGCACAGCGGGCUCCCUGAGCCCCCCUGGCAGCCAGCAGCCGCAGCCCCUGACCCCGCUGACCGUGCAAGCAGCCCCGCAGGUAACUAUGGGGAGGGGGCUCUGG
rnacentral:lncRNA from 1 species